UACAGAGGUCCCAAGCGUUGUUCGGAUUCAUUGGGCGUAAAGGGUGCGUGGGUGGUACCGUAAGUUGGAUGUGAAAUCCCGGAGCUCAACUCCGGAACUGCAUUCAAUACUGGAUGGCUUGAAUCCGGGAGAGGGAUGCAGAAUUCCAGGUGUAGCGGUGAAAUGCGUAGAUAUCUGGAGGAAUACCGGUGGCGAAGGCGGCAUCCUGGACCGGCAUUGACGCUGAUGAGCGAAAGCUAGGGGAGCAAACGGG
rnacentral:rRNA from 1 species